GCUCCCCAUAGAGCAGGGAGCCCAAUGUGGGGUUCCAUCCCAGGACCUGAGCUGAAGGCAGACACUUAACCCACUAAGCCACUCAGCUACCCCUUUCUUACUCUUAAAAUCAUAGAUUUUUGUUUUGUUUUUAAAGAUUUUAUUUAUUUAUUCAUGAAAGACAGAGAGAGAGAGAGGCAGAAACAUAGGCAGAGGGAGAAGCAGGCUCCCUGCGGGGAGUCUGAUGAGGGACUCGAUCCCAGGUCCCUGGGAUCACACCCUCAGCCAAAGGCAGACACUCAACCACUGAGCCACCCAGGUGCCCCAAAUCAUUGCAUCUUAAAGGCAGAGGGACCCUCGAGACCACUUGCUUUGGAUGCCCAGACAUAUUAAGUGACUUGCUGGAGAACACAAGCCACUGAUAAACAUAGCAAAGCCUGGACCCCUGGCGGUGCUCACAGACCUAAUCCGGCCAUCUUUUCCAGCACAGCAGAGAUUAAUAGGCACCCCCUAAAAUCAUCUUCACAAAUAAAACCAACUCUGGGAGAGGCAAUCACCCACCCCAUUGUGAAGGUCUUCCCAACACACGUGUAUACAUACACAUUCCAGCCAUAAAUAGAAAACAGGUUAGAGACAUUUAAAAGGGUAAACUUGGGGGCACUGGGUGGCUCAGUCAGUUAAGCUGCCAACUCUUGAUCUCAGCUCAGGUCUUGAUCUCAAUGUGGUGAGUUUAAGCCCCGUGUUGGGCUCCACACUGGAAGUAGAACCUACUUAAAAUAACAACAACAAAGUAGUAGUAAUAAAAAUAAAAGGGCAAACUUUAUAAUGAGAUUCACUUAAUGCAGCAGGUACUAAAAAUCUAAGAAUGAAUGAGACUGAAGUGAAUGCCUUCCACAAGGACCUCCUAGUACAUGAGGGGAAAUGGAGCCUACAUACAUAAAUUACAAAACCACAAGCCACAUCCCAUAUUGGAGAUAAAAACAGGGUGUGAUGGGCCAUUUCUGACUCCAUGAUUAAAAUGUUUGGAUCCUUCUUCCCUCUCAUUUCUAGGGUAGCUUCUAGAAAAUUAUACUCUAACUUAAAUGAAUGAAAAAGUAACAACUGUUAUGCACAAUGCCCAGGCUGAAAUCAAAAGACUAUUUCAGAACUUUUGAAAAGAUAAAUCAUUCUUCAAAGAAAGGAAAUUCAUACUCACAAUUUUUUUCUAAGGUCAAAAAUGCUGAUGGUAUUAAAUGUGUUGAAAACUAACAAGGAAUCAUCGACUGUAGUACAAUUACCUGCUAACUCAGGGUAAAGUGACCCUCUUCAGUAGGUGAGAAAUGAACUUACUGGUUCGGGAACCUGAAAGAAUCCAAACCAUUGAGUGUCCUAGAGGUUGACAGACUCCAUGAAGCACAAUGCCAAUGGCAACUUGUGUUCUGGGACGUCUGAGAUUAAAGACCAUGAAAAUAAAACAAACAUGUGACCUUCAAAGCCACAGCCACUAAUAAAAUACUGCUGGACCUUAGGAUCCUGAGCAACCCACUAGGGCCAUGUGGAAAAGACUCCCGGAUAUCGUACAACAGUCCCCACCUGCAGCUCUUUCUUGACUUCCUACAGCAGCCUGGCCCCUGUGAACUACAAAAUACCAAUUGAUAACAAGGAGACAGACACAGAAGGUAUUUCACGAGGGCCUUAAUCAGUGUAGAAAUAUUGCAGAAGACCCUAGAAAGGACUGGUUAAAGAGGCAAGAUUUCAGAACCUGCUUAAAUGAAUGGGACAGAACCGUAUUUCCUCUCCACAUGUAGUCUGAGCAGUCUACACCUCUGGAGGUCAGGAAACAAAUUCAUGUUGGCAGGACCAAAACGCCCAGAUUCUAUAUAUCCCCCUAUUGUUAUUUCACAGCUUACGAGCAAAAGAUUAGAUUGAUUCAAACAUUUAUUAUUACUGCACAACACCCAGCCACCUCCUCUUCAUUCGAGCUGCGAACCAAUGACCUACCCAGCUGGACUCAAGAGGUCAUCUUCUACCCCUUGGCUCCUUGUCACUGCCCCAGGUGUUACUGAGAAUGAGUGACCCAGAAAGCAGGCGGAGCAUCCUAACAGAGGUGAUAUUACAGCCCUGGGCACCACUCUUUCUGGCCCCUUCAUGCAUACCUAAUGCAUCCUGUUCCUCCUAAGGCAGAAGUAGAACUGUGUUUUCAAGCUUCCAUUGCAGACAGCUCGGAGAAGAAAUUUACUUUUCCCAGAAGUUGGCACAACAUAUGUUUACUUAGGUAGACAUAUCUACACAACACUAGCAACAAAACUAAUUCAUCUCACAGCAAAUUAUUCCAGAGAGACAAUGUCACCUCUUUCUCCGUCCUAAAAUCAAAAGGGGGAGGAAAAAAAGGAAACAAAUGCAAAUUGCCCCUGGCAGAGUUUCUCGCUGAAGGUACACAGAAGGACUCAAGAGCAAUUCAAGGUUUGCAGCAAAUGCCUAUUCAUUAAACCAGUAGGAGGUGCAACACCAUCUGGCAGCCGUGUCCAGCGGAAGAUCUAUUGCUCAGGAUCACUUCUGAGCAGCAAGCAAGUUUAUUUUUUUCCCCUUUUAUGCACAAAACUACAAGGACAUCAAUGUUGGCAUCAGGCAUGCCAGGAAGGCUUAACGAGACUGGAAAAUGAGAUCCAAAAACGGAAUCCCGCAAAAGCCAGCUUUCAUCGUGCUUGAUUAAACAACAUCCUCCCAGCAUUCAGGAAUCCCAGCAAACCCCAGCGUCCCCACUGGUGACUCCUUCAGAAACCACUAGGACUUCAGGCAUGUAAGGGAGGAGAGACUGCUCCCUUACAUGCCCAAAGUGGUUUUGUUGUUGUUAGAUAGGCAUGUUAUAUAUAUGCUGAUGCAAACACAGGGGAACAGAACAGUGCAAAUACAGCUACAAAGCAUAAUACUUGGGUUCAAUGCCCCCAGGAACUGCCCCAUUCCUCUGCUACCUCCUGACCCCCGGCACUUCCCCACAGUAUCCACCUAAUGCUGGGGUGUAGGGAGGGUGGGCAGGUUAGGUUAGGGUAGGGGGUGGGCUCUCCAAGGCAGUGCUGGUGACCCAAAGGACUGCUCCAGGGCAGGGUGGUGGGGAGGCGGUCACUGAUGCCAGAAGACCUGGUGAGGGGGACGGAAUGCCCACACUGAAGCCUGGACUCGGGAGUCUGGCUGGGCAGAGGGGCGGGAGGGGGCAAGUGUAGUAGAGUCUGGGCACAAGGCCAGACAAUCACCGGGUGCCAGGAACCCCUGGAAGGCCCCCUUGGCAGAGUUCUCCCUCUGGGGCUUGCUUUCUUUGAACCUCAACAUAACCAACCAGAAUCUUCUUUUUCCCAAGUGAAGUUGCUGCCUUUUUUUCUCUAAUGGAAAUGCAACACUUACUCAAUGCCAAAAAUAUGCUCAGUGCCAAAGAGCCAGAAAAUCACAAAGAAAUUUAAAAAAAACAUUUAUCAUCCCACCACCUGCAGAUAUCACUAGUAAGAUUCUGGUAUAUUUCUUGCUUUCUCCCCCCCUCCCCACUUCUCUCUCUCGCGCGCUCUCUCUCUCUCUCUCACACACACACACACACACACACACACACACACCAUGUGCAGUGCGUGUAUAUAUACAUAUGUAUGCCUCACAUUAUGCUUGCUUUCUUAAGGCCUGCUUUUAUGCCUUAACACAUUUUAAACACUUUGCCAUGAUAAUAAAUAUUUUUCAACCACAAUUUAAAAGCUAAAUAGUACCCCAUUGCAUAUACAUGUUUUACUUUAAAUAAUCCUGUAGCAUUAGGCAUUUAUUUUUCUAUGUUAAAAAUUAACAAUAAACUUUCACUCCUUCUUUCCCAUUUCAGGUGGUUCCUCAGAGUAAAGCAAUUGCCUAGUCCAAUAAGAGGAUUUCUAGCUUUUGAUGUAGUAAUAUUCCCACAUCGUCUUCUAGAAAAGUUAUACCGUCUCCCCAAGAGGGUGUAAGAAUGCCCAUGUGCCAUAGGCUCUUAUCAAAGCUUCUACUAUCUGCAUUUUAUUGUCCUUUAAAUUUGACAGUUUUUUGCCUAUCAGAUAGGUUGUAAUUAAGCAAUUUGCCAACUAAAUAGGUGUAAAAGACUACUGCUAAUUAAAACCACAACGUUUACCAGGCACUUACUAUGUGCCACAUACUGUUAUUUUACAUAUUUCAAGUGUAUUAACUUCACAUAUGAAUGGCAAAAAUGAGGGACAGGAGGGUGAAGUGAUAUGUCCACCUGCAGCCAGAUAGUCAAUGGUGGCAGAGUCUAGACUCUGAAUCAUAACACCAUACAAUUACACAGAGAACUAGUAGAAAGAAUGAGAGGAAGGGACAAGAUUUAGACAUGAUAGAGGGGUCCCUGAAAAUGUAUCCUGCCAAUCAAUCCCUCAUCUUUAUUCAUACGUUCAACAUCACCAUUUGUGGGGUUGUCCCAUAAGUGACAGACACAGUCUUCUGAUCCAGCAAAUCCAAUCUGAAAGUAGACUUUAACUUUUCACUGGCUCACUCAUCAAAAAGUGACCCAGGUUUAUUAUUUUGGCAUAUGACUAUUUGCCUGUUUAUACUAAUCACAUGAAAGAGAAUGGGCUUAUUUGUUUUCUGGUGUAAAAAAUGAUUUGGGAUCUGGGAAUUCCACUUGUAGGUACAUAUCCCAAAGAACUGAAAGGACUGGGACAGAUACUUGGACACCCGUGUUCCCAGAAGCCUUAUCCACGACAACCAAAAGAUGACAGAAACGCAAGUGCCCAUGUCAGAGGAGUGGAUAAACAAAAGUGCUAUAUACAUGCAACGGAACAUCAUCCAGCCUUGAAAGGAAGAGAAGUCUGACGUGUUCUCCAGCGUGGAUGAACCCUGAAGACUUUAUGCUCAGUGAAAGAAGCCAAACACAAAAGGACAAUGCUUUUGGAAUGCAGUUUGCAAUUGCAUUUUGCAAAGCAAAUGGAAUAUGCUUCCAUCUAUGUUAAAUACCUAGAACAGGCAAAGUUGUAGACCAGAAAAGGACCAGCGGUUGCCAGGGUCCGACGGGUGGGAGGAAUGAGGAGAUGUUUAAUGAGUAUAGAGUGUCAGCUGAAAAGAUGCAAAAGUUCAAGAGAUGGAUGGUGGUGAGGGCUGCACAGCUAUGUGUGAAUAUACUUAAUGCCACUGAAUUGCACACUUGAAAAUGGUUAAAAUGAUAAUAUUAGCAUUAUAUGUAUUUCACCACAAUAAAAACAAAAGAAAAGAUUCACAAGGCAAAGGGCCUCCUAUAAACUUUCUAUUUAGGGUGCUUCUGUCACUUGGGCCCUAAUCAGAUCCUCAUAGACCCUUCUGGGAAACGCUACCCAACAGAAGUUAGGGGGCAUGGUACAAAUGCUUUAAUAAAAGAUGAAAAAGCCUCUGGAAACAGUCUUUAAUUGCAGGGACCAACUUAUAUUGUGCUCAACUAAGUGAGCAGUCUGGAAUACCAAAGAAAAAACAGAAUCAAAUAGACUGUAAAACCGCAUUUGCUACAGGAAUCCAAGAACAAAUGGGAAAAUCAGGUGAGCAUUCACAAAUGACUACUGAGAACAAAGAAACCACAGGAAAAGGUCUUAGCACAAGCCUGUAGA
rnacentral:lncRNA from 1 species